GACAUAGAAACCAAAAAAAAAUUUAACAAAAGGACAAAUUAAAGAAAGAGAAAAAAAAAAUGUAUGGUACAUUGAGGAGCCAAAACGAGGAAAAACAAAAUCAGUUAACAGAAAAAACCCCGCUAAUUGGGCAACAACGCCACCUUUAUCCACGCUUCUUCCUUCCCACGCGCUCUUUCUACGCCCCACCCUCCGUCGCCCUAAAAAUGGCUUCCGCCGUAUCUGCCGCCCCUCUUCGCUCCAUCUACCUCGGUGUCGACGUCGGCACCGGCAGUGCUCGCGCAGGUUUAUUUGAUGAUAAAGGGAAGCUUCUAGGUUUCGGUAGCUGUGCCAUACAAAUUUGGAAGGAGGCUAAUUGUAUUGAGCAAUCUUCUACCGAUAUCUGGCAUGCUGUCUGUUCAGCUGUGAAAUCAGCAUGCGCUCUUGCUAAUGUUGAUGGAAAAGAAGUAGCAGGGAUUGGGUUUGCAGCAACAUGUUCCCUUGUGGCGGUGGAUGCUGAUGGGUCCCCGGUAACAGUUUCCUGGAGUGGUGAUUCAAGAAGAAAUGUUAUUGUGUGGAUGGACCAUAGAGCUGUAAAUCAAUCUGAAAGAAUCAACGCUUCCAACUCACCUGUAUUGCAAUACUGUGGGGGAUCUCUUUCGCCUGAGAUGGAGCCACCAAAGCUUCUGUGGGUAAAGGAAAACCUCAAGGAGUCCUGGUCAAUGGCAUUUCGGUGGAUGGACUUAAGUGACUGGCUAUCAUAUAGGGCAACUGGUGAUGAUACAAGGAGCCUAUGCACCACCGUUUGCAAGUGGACGUAUCUUGGUCAUGCACACCUAGAGCAAUUAACUGAGAACAUUUCCCGUGAUAUGGAAGCAUGUGGUUGGGAUGAUGACUUUUGGGAGGAGAUUGGCUUAGGUGAUUUAAUCGACGGACAUCAUGCGAAGAUUGGCCGAAGUGUAGCUUUCCCUGGGCAUCCUUUGGGCUCUGGUCUAACACCAGCUGCUGCAAAGGAACUAGGCUUGGAGGCGGGCAUUCCAGUAGGAACAUCUUUAAUUGAUGCCCAUGCUGGUGGGGUUGGGGUCAUGGAAAGUGUGCCAGCAUCUGAUAUUAAAUGCGAGGCUGAUGAGAUUGAAGGUAUCUGCCAUCGUAUGGUCUUGGUUUGUGGAACAUCUACUUGUCAUAUGGCUGUAUCUCGAACAAAGUUGUUCAUUCCAGGGGUCUGGGGGCCAUUUUGGUCUGCAAUGGUACCUCAAUAUUGGCUUACGGAGGGUGGCCAAAGUGCCACUGGGGCACUAUUAGAUCAUAUAAUCGAGAACCAUGUAGCUUCUCCUCACUUGGCUAAUCGUGCUGCUUCUCAGGGGACCACAGUGUUUGCACUUUUGAACAAGAUGUUAGAAUCAAUGAUGCAGGAGCUGAAUUCUCCAUUUCUUGCUGUUCUGACUAAGGAUUUGCAUGUCCUUCCUGACUUUCAUGGAAAUAGAUCUCCAACUGCAGAUCCCAAUGCAAAAGGGAUGGUCAGUGGUCUUACACUUAGCUCAAGUGAAAAGGAACUUGCUCUACUAUAUCUUGCUACUGUGCAAGGUAUUGCAUAUGGCACACGCCACAUCAUUGAGCAAUGCAAUGCCAAUGGCCACAAAAUAGACACCAUUCUUGCUUGCGGUGGACUAGCAAAGAACCCUUUGUACAUACAAGAGCAUGCAGAUAUUACUGGAUACCCGGUAAUUCUUCCACGAGAAAAUGAGUCUGUACUAUUGGGUGCUGCUAUUCUUGGUGCUGUUGCAGCAAAAAAAUAUCCCAGCCUUCACGAGGCGAUGAAGGCGCUGAAUGCAGCAGGCGAGGUUGUUUAUCCAUCGAAAGAUCCCAAUGUGAAGAAGUACCACGAUGCCAAGUAUAAAAUUUUUCGCGACCUUUAUGAAAAACAACUUUCAUAUCGAUCAAUCAUGGCUGAGGCUUUGGCUUAGGCAGCAUGUUAGGAGUAUCUUUCUAUCUCCCAGACGAGGAUGCUGAAGCGCCUUCGCAAGCAUUGAUCAUGGGUACGAGUACGAGUACGACUGUUUAUCACUCUCUCUCUCACUUGUUUGGCUUGGAAAGAAGUGUUAUUAUUAAUAUGCAAUGUACUUUAAUGCAGUUAAUUAUGCAGAGAAUUUGAUGUAAUUGAAGUGAUAUGGGAUCUUAAUUCUUUUCUAUAGAAGCUGACGACAUAUAACAUUUUUCUAAGGGGAGGAUUGGCAUAGUAGGGAGUUUAUGUAUUGGUUAUUCUUAUCUUGGGCUUGGCCUAUGUGUUCAGUUAAAGAAUUUUUUUUGAUCCAUAUAAACCAUGAAGAUGGUAUAAAGUACAAAGAAGGUGCGGGAGAUUUUAUGACAAAUUCAGCACUUCCAUAUAUAUAUUUAACUUGAAGCUGAUGUUUGGCCACUGGCCAGUUGCAGUUUCCAGUGUGUUUUUUCUUCUA